rnacentral:rRNA from 1 species
CAGAGGUCUCAAGCGUUGUUCGGAUUCAUUGGGCGUAAAGGGUGCGUAGGUGGCUUGGUAAGUUGAAGGUGAAAUCUCGGAGCUCAACUCCGAAACUGCCUUCAAUACUGCUGAGCUCGAGGACUGUAGAGGAGAAUGGAAUUCACGGUGUAGCAGUGAAAUGCGUAGAUAUCGUGAGGAAGACCAGUGGCGAAGGCGAUUCUCUGGGCAGUUCCUGACACUGAGGCACGAAGGCUAGGGGAGCAAACGGGAUUAGAUACCCCGGUAGUCCUAGCAGUAAACGGUGCACGUUUGGUGUGGGAGGAUUCGACCCCUUCCGUGCCGGAGCUAACGCGUUAAACGUGCCGCCUGGGAAGUACGGUCGCAAGAUUA